GUUGUUACUUCUGCUCAUCUGACAACUCUCUGUAUUUUGGGGUGGGGCUUCAAAGGUUUGAGAAGAGAUGGUAUAUUCAAAACUAGACAGAGGAGGAUGCUUUUUUAGUAUACACAGAUCUUGAUGUGCUGUGUGUUAUCAAACUUCCAGUUUCAGCCACAAUGUCAAUCCCCACAUUUAUUUUGCUUUUAGUAGUUGCAUGUGACAGUAAUGGUCAGACCAUUGAGCCAAUCAGAGAGGAGGUGUAUGCUCCAGCAGGUAGUAAUAUUACACUUUCAUGCACCUACUCAUCUGCAGUCUCUCUUCAAUGGUAUCUCCAGAACCCUGGAUCAGCUCCUCAGUAUAUCCUGCUUAUCCUGCAUGGUGUUGGGUCUCCAUCACGGGCUCCAGGUCUGGAUCCUCGACUGUCAGUCAAACUAAAUCAUGAGAAGAACCGUGUGGAUCUAGAGAUCUCCUCUGCUGAAGAGGAAGACUCUGCUAUGUACUACUGUGCACUGAUGCCCACAGUGAAAGGAAACCUACAAGCGCUGUACAAAAACCUAACCUGA